rnacentral:rRNA from 1 species
GAAAGGGAAUGGGGUCAAUAUUCCCCAACCCGGACACGGAGAUGGAGCCCUCGGGCUCAAGUGCGGUAACGCAACCGAACUCGGAGACGUCGACGGAGGACCCGGGGAAGAGUUGUCUUUUCUUUGUAAGAGUUCGUGUCCCUGGAAUCGGCUCGUCCGGAGAUAGGGACGCUGUCCUCGUAAAAGCUCCGCGGCUCUUGCGGAGUCCGGUGCGCCUCUGUCGGCCCUUGCAAAUCCGAGGGAGAGAGUGUGAUUUUCGUGCCGGUCCGUACCCAUAUCCGCAGCAGGUCUCCAAGGU